GUGCGGGUAAAGUAGGAGCGGAUCCCCGGAUCGUGUCCCCGAUGAAGGCAGAUCGCUGGGUGAAAUCUGGUAACAUUGAAUUUAAUAAACUGCACCAUUUUCUCAAGAAGCACUGGUUUAUUUGCAAGGAGUUAUGGAUGGUUUUGCAGUAACUUUGAAACCUGACAUGAUGAUGAUGCUAAAAUACAGAUGAUAAUUGGCUUGGAAAUUCAAGAAUCAUGGCAACACUCUGGUGAUAAAGUCUAUCCACUAUAAUAAGUACAUGUGUGGCAACCUUCGCAUCUGCAGGCUUCUGUUCCACCUCGGUUGGGGUCUGGUCGUCUUCCGGCUUCUCUUCAAUCACGUUCAACAC